AGUUAAUGAACUUGUAUAAGUAUGUACCUUGAAAGUACAAAAAAGAGGCAUAUCCUCUAUUAACUU
rnacentral:tRNA from 1 species